GGGGGGAGGCUGGAUCCUGGGCUGUGUCCUGGCGCCCUGUGCUCCUGGGCCUGCGCUGUUGGAUUCGCGCUCCCGCCAGGCAGCCCCCU
rnacentral:pre_miRNA from 1 species